GAUGAACGCUGGCGGCGUGCCUAAUACAUGCAAGUCGAGCGAACAGACGAGGAGCUUGCUCCUCUGACGUUAGCGGCGGACGGGUGAGUAACACGUGGAUAACCUACCUAUAAGACUGGGAUAACUUCGGGAAACCGGAGCUAAUACCGGAUAACAUGUUGAACCGCAUGGUUCAACAGUGAAAGACGGUCUUGCUGUCACUUAUAGAUGGAUCCGCGCCGGAUUAGCUAGUUGGUAAGGUCACGGCUUACCAAGGCAACGAUGCGUAGCCGACCUGAUAGGGUGAUCGGCCACACUGGAACUGAGACGCGGUCCAGACUCCUACGGGAGGCAGCAGUAGGGAAUCUUCCGCAAUGGGCGAAAGCCUGACAGAGCAACGCCGCGUGAGUGAAGAAGGUCUUCGGAUCGUAAAACUCUGUUAUUAGGGAAGAACAAAUGUGUAAGUAACUAUGCACGUCUUGACGGUACCUAAUCAGAAAGCCACGGCUAACUACGUG
rnacentral:rRNA from 1 species